rnacentral:misc_RNA from 1 species
GAUGAAGAACGCAGCGAAAUGCGAUAAGUAAUGUGAAUUGCAGAAUUCAGUGAAUCAUCGAAUCUUUGAACGCACAUUGCGCCCCUUGGUAUUCCAUGGGGCAUGCCUGUUCGAGCGUCAUUUGUACCUUCAAGCUCUGCUUGGUGUUGGGUGUUUGUCUCGCCUCUGCGUGUAGACUCGCCUCAAAACAAUUGGCAGCCGGCGUAUUGAUUUCGGAGCGCAGUACAUCUCGCGCUUUGCACUCAUAACGACGACGUCCAAAAGUACAUUUUUACACUCUUGACCUCGGAUCAGGUAGGGAUACCCGCUGAACUUAAGCAUAUCAAUAAGCGGAGGA